AUUCUGUACGGCCGCGCCGCGCGCUCACUAAUGCGUCAUACAGCCACCUGACUUGACGCGUACUCCGUUGUCCCGCCUUGAUACUUCGCGCGCGCCAUGUGAACUUUAGUGUUGACUUACAUCGAAGUACGCGCCGGCGCGCUCACUGCACCGUACGCCAUUCGAACUUUUUCCAACUCUGCCAGUGAGUUUGGGUGGUCUGAACCGACGAACGAACGUGAAGAUACAAGAGGACGCACGUGUUCGCCGCGCGGAUCCUGAAAGCUUAAUGGCGGCCGAUAUUGUAAUGAGUAAUGCCGGCAAAGAUCAACGAUGGGAAGAUAACGGCGCAAUGCAUGCAAAGAAAAAACUGCAUUAUUGCCGUGAGCAGGUAUUAACCCAACGGCCUAUCGAUUGAGCAAAGCUACGCAGCACUGAUUUAGGUAUGAUUAUUGGCAGUUACGUGUCGUCUUAAAAUGAAGAGAAAAUAGAAAAGAACAAAUAUAAUUUUCAUACAGCCUGCGCAAUGGAGAUGUACACGCGGGAUGAGGCGGCCAUCUUAACCAAGAGCACAGGUAGGCAGACGAGGAGAAAUCAAUCAUCGGGUUCAACGUAAAAUGAAGCAGUUAUGUUUGUAUAAAUAUUAAUUUAUAAAUAAAAAUCAAUAUGAAAAAAACA